rnacentral:rRNA from 1 species
GGGUAAGUUCCGACCUGCACGAAUCGUGUAACGACCGGACCGCUGUCUCGGAGUGGUUCUCGGCGAAAUUGUAGUGGCGGUGAAGAUGCCGCCUGCCCGCAGUAGGACGGAAAGACCCUAUGCACCUUUACUAUAAGCUGGUAUUGGGUUCUGGUCUUUAAUGCGUAGCAUAGGUGGGAGACGUUGAAUCGGCGGUUUCGGUCGCCGAGGAGUCAUCAGUGAAAUACCACUCUUUAUUGAUUAGGAUUCUAACCUCGACCCUGUUAGCCAGGCGAGGGACAGUGCCUGCGGGUUAGUUUGACUGGGGCGGUUUCCUCCUAAAAAGUAACGGAGGAGUGCGAAGGUACACUCAGCACGGUUGGCAACCGUGCGUCGAGCAUAUGGGUAGAAGUGUGCUUAACUGUGAGACCUACAAGUCGAGCAGAUGCGAAAGCAGGCCCAAGUGAU